rnacentral:rRNA from 1 species
UACGUAGGGUGCGAGCGUUGUCCGGAAUUAUUGGGCGUAAAGAGCUCGUAGGCGGUUUGUUGCGCCUAUCGUGAAAACCUGCGGCUUAACUGUGGGCUUGCGGUGGAUACGGGCAGACUUGAGUUCGGUAGGGGAGACUGGAAUUCCUGGUGUGGCGGUGAAAUGCGCAGAUAUCAGGAGGAACACCGGUGGCGAAGGCGGGUCUCUGGGCCGAUACUGACGCUGAGGAGCGAAAGCGUGGGGAGCGAACAGG